rnacentral:rRNA from 1 species
GGCCGCCGGCAACCCUUGAACGCUUGGCGCGAGAAGUCCGUAACGCCGGGGUGCAUUACCCUCGACGUACGCCCUCCGCCUAACCAAGUAAGUAAAGAAACGAUGAAAGUAGUGGUAUUUCAUUGGCGAUGAACCCGUCUCCCACUUAUGCUACACCUCUCAUGUCUCGUUACAGUGCCAGACUAGAGUCAAGCUCAACAGGGUCUUCUUUCCCCGCUGAUUAUUCCAAGCCCGUUCCCUUGGCAGUGGUUUCGCUAGAUAGUAGAUAGGGACAGGGGAAUCUCGUUAAUCCAUUCAUGCGCGUC